UGGGGAAUCUUGCGCAAUGGGGGAAACCCUGACGCAGCGACGCCGCGUGGAGGAUGAAGGUCUUCGGGUUGUAAACUCCUUUUCUUGGGGAAAAUGAUGAUGGUACUCAAGGAAUAAGCCACGGCUAACUCUGUGCCAGCAGCCGCGGUAAGACAGAGGUGGCGAGCGUUGUUCGGAAUUACUGGGCUUAAAGGGCGAGUAGGCGGUAGAGCAAGUCUGAGGUGGAAUCCUAUGGCUUAACCAUAGAAUUGCCUUAGAAACUGCUUUACUUGAGUCAGUGAGGGGAGGGCGGAAUUCCUGGUGUAGCGGUGAAAUGCGUAGAUAUCAGGAGGAAGGCCUGUGGCGAAAGCGGCCCUCUGGCACUGUACUGACGCUGAGGCGCGAAAGCGUGGGGAGCAAACAGG
rnacentral:rRNA from 1 species